ACUAAGCGUACACGGUGGAUGCCCUGGCAGUCAGAGGCGAUGAAGGACGUGCUAAUCUGCGAAAAGCGUCGGUAAGGUGAUAUGAACCGUUAUAACCGGCGAUGUCCGAAUGGGGAAACCCAGUGUGUUCCGACACACUAUCAUUAACUGAAUCCAUAGGUUAAUGAGGCGAACCGGGGGAACUGAAACAUCUAAGUACCCCGAGGAAAAGAAAUCAACCGAGAUUCCCCCAGUAGCGGCGAGCGAACGGGGAGGAGCCCAGAGCCUGAAUCAGUGUGUGUGUUAGUGGAAGCGUCUGGAAAGGCGCGCGAUACAGGGUGACAGCCCCGUACACAAAAAUGCACAUGCUGUGAGCUCGAUGAGUAGGGCGGGACACGUGGUAUCCUGUCUGAAUAUGGGGGGACCAUCCUCCAAGGCUAAAUACUCCUGACUGACCGAUAGUGAACCAGUACCGUGAGGGAAAGGCGAAAAGAACCCCGGCGAGGGGAGUGAAAAAGAACCUGAAACCGUGUACGUACAAGCAGUGGGAGCCCUGAUUUAUCAGGGUGACUGCGUACCUUUUGUAUAAUGGGUCAGCGACUUAUAUUCUGUAGCAAGGUUAACCGAAUAGGGGAGCCGGAGGGAAACCGAGUCUUAACUGGGCGUUAAGUUGCAGGGUAUAGACCCGAAACCCGGUGAUCUAGCCAUGGGCAGGUUGAAGGUUGGGUAACACUAACUGGAGGACCGAACCGACUAAUGUUGAAAAAUUAGCGGAUGACUUGUGGCUGGGGGUGAAAGGCCAAUCAAACCGGGAGAUAGCUGGUUCUCCCCGAAAGCUAUUUAGGUAGCGCCUCGUGAAUUCAUCUCCGGGGGUAGAGCACUGUUUCGGCAAGGGGGUCAUCCCGACUUACCAACCCGAUGCAAACUGCGAAUACCGGAGAAUGUUAUCACGGGAGACACACGGCGGGUGCUAACGUCCGUCGUGAAGAGGGAAACAACCCAGACCGCCAGCUAAGGUCCCAAAGUCAUGGUUAAGUGGGAAACGAUGUGGGAAGGCCCAGACAGCCAGGAUGUUGGCUUAGAAGCAGCCAUCAUUUAAAGAAAGCGUAAUAGCUCACUGGUCGAGUCGGCCUGCGCGGAAGAUGUAACGGGGCUAAACCAUGCACCGAAGCUGCGGCAGCGACGCUGAUGCGUUGUUGGGUAGGGGAGCGUUCUGUAAGCCUGUGAAGGUGGCCUGUGAGGGUUGCUGGAGGUAUCAGAAGUGCGAAUGCUGACAUAAGUAACGAUAAAGCGGGUGAAAAGCCCGCUCGCCGGAAGACCAAGGGUUCCUGUCCAACGUUAAUCGGGGCAGGGUGAGUCGACCCCUAAGGCGAGGCCGAAAGGCGUAGUCGAUGGGAAACAGGUUAAUAUUCCUGUACUUGGUGUUACUGCGAAGGGGGGACGGAGAAGGCUAUGUUGGCCGGGCGACGGUUGUCCCGGUUUAAGCGUGUAGGCUGGUUUUCCAGGCAAAUCCGGAAAAUCAAGGCUGAGGCGUGAUGACGAGGCACUACGGUGCUGAAGCAACAAAUGCCCUGCUUCCAGGAAAAGCCUCUAAGCAUCAGGUAACAUCAAAUCGUACCCCAAACCGACACAGGUGGUCAGGUAGAGAAUACCAAGGCGCUUGAGAGAACUCGGGUGAAGGAACUAGGCAAAAUGGUGCCGUAACUUCGGGAGAAGGCACGCUGAUAUGUAGGUGAAGCGACUUGCUCGUGGAGCUGAAAUCAGUCGAAGAUACCAGCUGGCUGCAACUGUUUAUUAAAAACACAGCACUGUGCAAACACGAAAGUGGACGUAUACGGUGUGACGCCUGCCCGGUGCCGGAAGGUUAAUUGAUGGGGUCAGCGCAAGCGAAGCUCUUGAUCGAAGCCCCGGUAAACGGCGGCCGUAACUAUAACGGUCCUAAGGUAGCGAAAUUCCUUGUCGGGUAAGUUCCGACCUGCACGAAUGGCGUAAUGAUGGCCAGGCUGUCUCCACCCGAGACUCAGUGAAAUUGAACUCGCUGUGAAGAUGCAGUGUACCCGCGGCAAGACGGAAAGACCCCGUGAACCUUUACUAUAGCUUGACACUGAACACUGGUCCUUGAUGUGUAGGAUAGGUGGGAGGCUUUGAAGUGUGGACGCCAGUCUGCAUGGAGCCGUCCUUGAAAUACCACCCUUUAAUGGCUGGUGUUCUAACGUUGGCCCGUAAUCCGGGUUGCGGACAGUGUCUGGUGGGUAGUUUGACUGGGGCGGUCUCCUCCUAAAGAGUAACGGAGGAGCACGAAGGUUGGCUAAUCCUGGUCGGACAUCAGGAGGUUAGUGCAAUGGCAUAAGCCAGCUUGACUGCGAGCGUGACGGCGCGAGCAGGUGCGAAAGCAGGUCAUAGUGAUCCGGUGGUUCUGAAUGGAAGGGCCAUCGCUCAACGGAUAAAAGGUACUCCGGGGAUAACAGGCUGAUACCGCCCAAGAGUUCAUAUCGACGGCGGUGUUUGGCACCUCGAUGUCGGCUCAUCACAUCCUGGGGCUGAAGUAGGUCCCAAGGGUAUGGCUGUUCGCCAUUUAAAGUGGUACGCGAGCUGGGUUUAGAACGUCGUGAGACAGUUCGGUCCCUAUCUGCCGUGGGCGCUGGAGAACUGAGGGGGGCUGCUCCUAGUACGAGAGGACCGGAGUGGACGCAUCACUGGUGUUCGGGUUGUCAUGCCAAUGGCACUGCCCGGUAGCUAAAUGCGGAAGAGAUAAGUGCUGAAAGCAUCUAAGCACGAAACUUGCCCCGAGAUGAGUUCUCCCUGAGACAUUAAGUCUCCUGAAGGAACGUUGAAGACGACGACGUUGAUAGGCCGGGUGUGUAAGCGCAGCGAUGCGUUGAGCUAACCGGUACUAAUGAACCGUGAGGCUUAACC
rnacentral:rRNA from 1 species